UGGGGUUGUGGCUCAGCGGUACAGCGCUUGCCUAGCACGUUUGAGGCCCUGGGUUCGAUCCUCAGCACCACAA
rnacentral:tRNA from 1 species